rnacentral:lncRNA from 1 species
CACAUCCCAACAAUAAACCCACAUGCUCAGGGACCCCCGAUGCAGACGCUUGAAAAAAUUACUGCACCUUACAUAUAUAAUUUUACCAUUUUAACCCGCACCAAAAAAAGAAUUUACCGCCAUAAUCACAAGUCCCAUUUUCGUAAAUUUCUCUAAUUAGUUAUUUUCUCCCUAAUUUAAAUUUUACUGAAUCAGUCUCAUAGGGAUUAGCUAUCUGUCACUGUUAAUCACCAUUACAGACAACACGAGAAAGAUAUCUUAAUAAUAAAUGGCGGACAAAUUAAAUUCAUCGCAGAAACCUCCAUAACUAUUUCCUCUGCCAUUCUUCAAUCUAUCAUCUUCUAAAAAUCGUCAAUGGUUCCUCCACCUGCUUCAUCGUCUUCUUCAUCUUCUUCCUCCCCUUCUUCCCCCAACCCUCCUGCUCCCCCGCCGCUGCUCUCGUCCUACCACUUCUCCCACUUCACCCCCGUAAGGCGUAAAAUCCAGCGCACAAUCUGUUUGUAUUGUUGUUGUUGGUUCAUUGUACUGACAUGGUGGUUGAUUGCA